GCUUUUGUGGCGAAAUAUGGUAUACGCGCCAAGUUUAGGCCUUGGAAUCUUU
rnacentral:tRNA from 1 species